UGUAGCUCAGUUGGUAGAGCACUUGCCUAGCAUGUAUGAAACCCUGGGUUUGAUCCUCAGCA
rnacentral:tRNA from 1 species